AUCCGGACGAGUCCCAAACAGGACGAAACGCGCGUCCUGGAU
rnacentral:hammerhead_ribozyme from 1 species